rnacentral:rRNA from 1 species
CCUACGGGGGGCAGCAGUGGGGAAUAUUGCGCAAUGGGCGAAAGCCUGACGCAGCGACGCCGCGUGAGGGAUGAAGGUCUUCGGAUCGUAAACCUCUGUCAGCAGGGAAGAACGGUCACUGUGCUAAUCAGCAGUGAAUUGACGGUACCUGCAAAGGAAGCACCGGCUAACUCCGUGCCAGCAGCCGCGGUAAUACGGAGGGUGCGAGCGUUAAUCGGAAUUACUGGGCGUAAAGCGCUCGUAGGCGGUAUGUCAAGUCAAGGGUGAAAUCCCCGCGCUCAACGUGGGAACUGCCUUUGAAACUGGCAAACUGGAGUGUGUGAGAGGAUGGUGGAAUUCCAGGUGUAGGAGUGAAAUGCGUAGAUAUCUGGAGGAACAUCAGUGGUGAAGGCGACUAUCUGGCACAUAACUGACGCUGAGGAGCGAAAGCGUGGGUAGCAAACAGGAUUAGAUACCCCGGUAGUC